CCCAAAUUUGCCCCAGAGCGCGGUUGACAGGGUGCAGCCGGGAGAGGCCGCGCUGGGACGGAGAUAUAGUGGAAACGUUCCUGGAUGUUCAGGGCGCGCCGUCCCACCGGCUGCUGGCCAGAGCCCCGGGAAGGCGAGGAUGCACCUUCUCCCCUGCCUUGGAAAGCUUCACAGGCUACCAGAGAAGCAAGGCAUUUACGCUGUGGUAUCUGUGGCCAUCUCAGACUGCUUGAUAUCCUGAGAAAUCUGCUUUCUGAUCAAAUUGAAAUAAUCCGAUGCAACAACUGAAUUGUCAGCAGGGGCUUCUGCCCAAGCACCAGUUGGAAAUUUCAGAGUCAUUGUCAAGAUCAGCCGCUCAGACCAUCCUGUCACCUAAGAUGUGGCUGGGAAUAAUGGCCUCAAGUUGGCCACACUCCAGUCUUCAGUACCUCACUAGGACCACCUGGCAGGCAGAAGAAUACCCCCUUUCCAAAGAGGUACACGUGCUAAUAUCUGGAAUCUAUGAAAAUGUAAUAUGGCAAAGCAGAAUGAAGGCUGCUAAUUUGCUGACCUUAAGAUGGGGAGAUCACCCUGGAUUCUCUAAAUGGGCCCAAAGUAAUCACAAGGUACUGAAAUGUGGAGAGUGA
rnacentral:lncRNA from 1 species